rnacentral:rRNA from 1 species
AUUGAACGCUGGCGGCAGGCCUAACACAUGCAAGUCGAACGGUAACAGGAAGAAGCUUGCUUCUUUGCUGACGAGUGGCGGACGGGUGAGUAAUGUCUGGGAAACUGCCUGAUGGAGGGGGAUAACUACUGGAAACGGUAGCUAAUACCGCAUAACGUCGCAAGACCAAAGAGGGGGACCUUCGGGCCUCUUGCCAUCGGAUGUGCCCAGAUGGGAUUAGCUAGUAGGUGGGGGAACGGCUCACCUAGGCGACGAGCCCUAGCUGGUCUGAGAGGAUGACCAGCCACACUGGAUCUGAGACACGGUCCAGACUCCUACGGGAGGCAGCAGUGGGGAAUAUUGCACAAUGGGCGCAAGCCUGAUGCAGCAAUGCCGCGUGUAUGAAGAAGGCCUUCGGGUUGUAAAGUACUUUCAGCGGGGAGGAAGGGAGUAAAGUUAAUACCUUUACUCAUUGACGUUACCCGCAGAAGAAGCACCGGCUAACUCCGUG